UCCCUGGUGGCUCAGAUGGUAAAGAAUCUGCCUACAAUGCAGGAGAUCCAAGUUCGAUCCCUGGUUUGGGGA
rnacentral:tRNA from 1 species